UGAUACAGCUGGUUGUACCUAGAUGAUGAUGCUAACCUUUCAGAUUACAAAGUUAGCAGAGAGAGCCACAGUCAAACCUGCUCCAACAUGUCAAGUUUUUCUUUUAGUUUGUGGCAGAGUCUAUGAGGAAAAUCUCACAUUCUCCUUAUUUAGAAAGAUGCAUUUGUUGAAGUAAGUAGCAGAUUCUUCCAAGAUGCCAUUUCCUCAUUUUAAGGUAGAAAGCUCUUGAUACAACCUUAGCUACUGCUCAAAGCAGUGGUUACCCAUAACACAUGGUUAUGGAGGGUUGUAUUGUUUAGGACCUGGUUAUUGUGCUUAAGUGUUCUUUAUAGUAGUUUGACAAUAAAUCAAGGCAUUAAAACCACAUCCACUGUAAAGACCAAAGCAGCAUUUGAUCUUUUAGUAUUUAGUGGUACUAAGUUUCACAACUUUACUUUCUAAUUGCUUUUAACUCCUGGCCAUUUGAUCAUUAUUUACUUCUGGUAAGAACUUCAGAAUACUCUGGGAGGGAAAAAGUAGGGUUUUUAUGGUCUUUUUGGCUUUUUUUUUUUUUUUUUUUUAACUGAUGCUAAAUAAUUUAAAUAAUUCCAUUAAAGGACUGCAUAUGUUUUUGUGCUGUUCAACAGUUUACUAUUAUUUUCAUAAAUAACAAGUUACCUUUCACUUAAAACAAUGGCAUCAAGCUCUUUGUUAGUUGGCCUUCUGUGGUCCUGAAGGCAGUUUUAAGUAUGAGAUUGGAAACUUUCCUUCCUCUAUGAAUGCAGAAUGCUUCCUCAUCCAAUGCUAUACCAUACCCAAAUAUACUAAUGCACACUCUAUUGCAGCUAAUUACUAAGCUGAAUUCAAAACAAACCUCCUUUUGUGAUACAGAAAGUGAAUGUGUACAGAAAAUGAAGAAUAGCAUUCUACUCCUGCUGCUUUUUUAAAAGCUGAAUGAUACAACUGAUGUAAUUGACGAGUAUAGAAAUGAGCUUAGAAUAUGAUAAAAGUGUAAUUCUUUAUUUGUCUUCUCUCAAUUCAAGCCCUAAAAAUGAGGUUUAUGCUUUUAAAUAUUUUAUCUUCAGGAUAAAGUUAAAUUCUGUUAUAUCAAUAGAUUUUUGGGUUUUUUGCUAUCAUUUAAGUUUCUUUUUUUCUCUUUUAUUCUGUAGAGAAAGUAAAUAAAUUAUUGUUUUAAAGUAUGGAGCCAAGCUGUAGUCUUAGAGACAAUGGACUACAGCAGUUUAUUUUGUGUAGUUGUGUUCCUUUGAAAGUCUGUGUCUAAUGUAGUCAGGAAUUUGCAAGCCAGUUGGAUUCUCCUUUGAACCACGAGAAGGGAUCCAUUGGUGGGCACCUUGGGCUGUUGGUUUCAUGCCCUCAGGUGCUUUUGAAGUUACUGUGUCAGUGAGGGUAAAUUUAAUUCUGGUCAAAUAUAAAUAAAUUAAGUUAGUUAAUAAUUUCACAUUUCAGGGAAAAAAAAAACAAAACCAAAAAACAAAACCCCCAAAACAGUAAACCAGCCAAUCUUCAAAGAUUAUGACACUUUAUUAAUCAAAUUUGAAAAAGUAACUAUGAUGUCACUUGAGAUUUAAUUUAAGUGUUUUCUCCUGUGCUGUGAUUGCAGGAAAUUGGAUGCAUAGCAUAGUCUGUGGAGAUACAAAGUUUUCUGCACGUGCUGAGACGAGAGUGUAUUUGGCUUUUAACAAUAAUUUUGCACCAUUUUAGCAAAUGGCAGCCUUCUGAGCAAGAGAGAAAAGGAAUUGAUCAUUAGAGCUGAAGCUUGCUUGGUUUUCAAGUUAAUCAUAAUGCAAGAUGGAGAAGGUGACACAAAACUUGGAAAUGUGUAAAGUCCAUUGGUGCCUGUAUGUGUGUGCAGAUGGACAGAUAAUUGUCACAAGUGCAUAGAAGAAUAGGGGGAGGGAGUGAAAACUUCAAGCACAUGCCUUGUGAUUAAGGUUGUGGACUGGGACACUGAAGAGCUGGGUUCAGUUCCUGCUCUAAUACAGUCAUCCAGUGGGAUACAGGUCCUGUGACCAACUUGGUGCCUGUGGACUCAUUCCAGGUGGUCAAUAUCUUAUGUUGGGGCUCCCAUUUUUCUCAGAUUUUGUUUCUUUUUUCCCCCCUAGUCUUGAACUCAAAUCUGCAGUUAAUCCAUGAUUAACUGCAUGAAUUUAUAAGAUCUUUGUAAUGGAAGGGGAUUUCCAAUUAGUGUGUACUUUGUGAGGAGCAAAAUGGCAAGUGGACCUAAAUGGGAAUGAAUGCUACCAGAACAUCUGAGACCUCCUGCAUAGCCUGCCUAGGAAGGUUUAGCUUUUUUAACAUAAACUGUAUUGCAUGAGGUAAAUUGCCCACUAAGGGUAUGAAAAUGCCAGUGCAUUUUGAUAGAUUCCUAAAAAAGCCCUAGAAAGCUGACCCUGGAUGAGGGAACUUGGAGUAGGACGUAGGUGGAGUUGAGGAUAAAUGCCAAAAUGGUUUCUGAACUUUGCUCAGCUUCUCUUUCAUCACAGGAUGAAGACAUUGAUUAUACAAGUUAGCAGCUCUGAGUCUGAGCUUCUGAGGUCUUUAGAUCUUUGCUUUGUAGCUUGCUUCAACACCCUGCAGUCUGCAUCUCUCAAAGGUUUUCCCCUUAGCCUUAUAAUAGUUUCAAACAGAAGUUCUAAAGCCUUUGAGUUAGUUGUCCAGCACAGUGGUCUGUAGUGCAGCUUAAGAGCCACACAAAGUCAGGUGCCAAGUUGCUUAUGCAGAUGCCUGCAUGUUUUAUUAGCUCUGGGACUAAAUACUCCACAACACCAAGGAGGAAGUUAGGCUUGGAACUUGUCAGUGUGCUUAGUGGCUAGAUAUAUUUGCUUGUAAUCAGACUUCCUGAAAUAAAUGGAGAUGCAUCCUUAAGUUAGAAUUGUGUAUGAUCAGUUCCUGGGAAUAAGACGUUAAAAAAGAGGAAUUGCUCUUUAUAUAUGUGUUUAUGUAAAGGUGAAGUUACCAGCUGCAUUUUCAAAGAUGACUUGAAGAAGAGAGUUGGUGAGUACUGCAAGAUACAGAGCUACAAUACUCCAUUUCUAUUCCACCUCAUGUUUCUGUUUUCUGUCUGGAGCCUUGUGGCAGCAGGCUGAUACAGUUUUCUUGCUUAGCUGGGAAGCAUCAUUGUUAUGGACAGUAUGAAAUCCCCUUUUUUGAGCAUCUGAGAAAUGGAGAUAGACAUUCAGAAGACACUCAAUAGGUGUCUUCUGAAACUUCUUAUAAUUGAAGCUCACUCCGAAUGUUGUGUACAGAGUGUUUUCUGUAUUUUCUUUAUAUUCAGUCUUGCUGCUCUGGUACAGGUCAAGCUGUUGGGUUUUCUAAGAAAUGUUGAUUUAGCUCCCAAUGAUUCUGUUUUUCUAAAAAGUUUGGUUGAAUGUCCAAUAUUUCAAACAAAUAACUCAUUUCAGUAAUAUCUCACAGAAAGACUUGCCUCAAACAUGUUACAGUGCUUUAUAGAUUAGGUGUCUUUGGGUUUUUGAUAUCUUACAAGACAUAUGAGUGAGGUUCAGCUAAAAUUAUUCUUGCAUGUGAUCCAAAAGGCUUUGCAAUGAAGGACAAUAAUUCAAAUUUGAAGCUAUUAGAAAUUUUCACAUUUGUUCUGUCAAUUUUCACAUUUGUCCUGGCUCUUCUUCCAUUUACUCUGAUUUAUUCUUUGUUCCCC